rnacentral:rRNA from 1 species
AGCGAACGCUGGCGGCAGGCCUAACACAUGCAAGUCGAACGAACUCUUCGGAGUUAGUGGCGGACGGGUGAGUAACACGUGGGAACGUGCCUUUAGGUUCGGAAUAACUCAGGGAAACUUGUGCUAAUACCGAAUGUGCCCUUCGGGGGAAAGAUUUAUCGCCUUUAGAGCGGCCCGCGUCUGAUUAGCUAGUUGGUGAGGUAACGGCUCACCAAGGCGACGAUCAGUAGCUGGUCUGAGAGGAUGGCCAGCCACACUGGGACUGAGACACGGCCCAGACUCCUACGGGAGGCAGCAGUGGGGAAUCUUGCGCAAUGGGCGAAAGCCUGACGCAGCCAUGCCGCGUGAAUGAUGAAGGUCUUAGGAUUGUAAAAUUCUUUCACCGGGGACGAUAAUGACGGUACCCGGAGAAGAAGCCCCGGCUAACUUCGUGCCAGCAGCCGCAGUAA